UUUAGGAUAGCUCAGUCAGUAGAGCAUGAGACUUAUUCUCAUGGUUGUGAGUUCAAGCCCCGCACUGGGCAAAA